GUGCCAGCCGCCGCGGUAAUACGUAGGGUGCAAGCGUUGUCCGGAAUUAUUGGGCGUAAAGAGCUCGUAGGCGGUGUGUCGCGUCUGCUGUGAAAAUCCAAGGCUCAACCUUGGACCUGCAGUGGGUACGGGCACACUAGAGUGCGGUAGGGGAGAUUGGAAUUCCUGGUGUAGCGGUGGAAUGCGCAGAUAUCAGGAGGAACACCGAUGGCGAAGGCAGAUCUCUGGGCCGUAACUGACGCUGAGGAGCGAAAGCGUGGGGAGCGAACAGGAUUAGAUACCCGGGUAGUCC
rnacentral:rRNA from 1 species